AUCCGUGGGUUCUUUUUCUCUCUCUUUUCACUCCUUUUCCUACAGAUUCCUCUGCGACUCCGCUCCUCUCCAGCGACCAACUCCUCUCUGGUGGCUCCCUGGCGCUCCUCUUCACUCCAUCCUCGUGGGAGCAAGUUUGGGGCACUUCUUGGAGGCUAGAUUGUCGUUCUUCACCGAGCUCUUCACGUGUUCUUCGUGUUCUUGAGGAUGCCUGCACGCAAGUCCCUCACUCACAAGUCCGAACGCGCUCGGGAUCGGUCUCCCACUCCUUCUCCAUCCUCCGCGGAGGACUCGGACCAUGCUUGGUCCGGGGAAGGGGAAGAGGAGACCGGCCCUCAGGUGGCACGUGUUCCUCGGGGUUCCACUCAGCCUCCUCCCACUCGUGAGCGUCCCUCUCCUAUGGCUCGUCGUGAGCCGUCUCCCUUAUUCCGCAUUCUGCGAAGUCUCUUUGACCUUUGCGCCGCAGAGGCCAAAAAGAACCGCAGAAUGCGGAAUGGGAUCAAGAAGACAGCUCGGCGCAUCAAGAACAUACAGGCACAACUCAAUGAGCAUUUUCACGUGGAUGUCCCUCCCUCCCCACCGGGCUUUGAGGCCGAGCCCGAUGAGCCUGAGGAGGAAGAGAUCGAGGAUCCUUUUGCUGGGAUACCUUCAGACUAUGAUUUCUUUGGUUUUGGCCAUGGCUAUGGCUAUCCUCCUCUAGAGGAUCCUCCUCAGGCGCCCUUCGCUUGAGUCUUUGUCUCGUCAUCCUUCCUUUUUGGUGCUUCGAUGCCAAAGGGAGAGAAUACCUAUCUAUCUUAUUUAGCUUUAGCUAUCUUAGUCGAACAUGGUUGGCUUUUUUUAUGAGACUAUGUGUGGAUUUUAAGUUAUUGCCAUAUUAUAAGACUUUAUUGUUUAAUUAUGGAUGUGUGAGAUGUAAUGACAAUUAUGUGUUAUAUUCAUAUGGUGCAAAUGUUCUUAUUUCCUUCUUA